rnacentral:rRNA from 1 species
UACGAAGGGGGCUAGCGUUGUUCGGAAUCACUGGGCGUAAAGAGCUCGUAGGCGGUCUGUCGCGUCGGCUGUGAAAUCCCGAGGCUCAACCUCGGGUCUGCAGUCGAUACGGGCAAACUUGAGUGUUGCAGGGGAGACUGGAAUUCCUGGUGUAGCGGUGAAAUGCGCAGAUAUCAGGAGGAACACCGGUGGCGAAGGCGGGUCUCUGGGCAACAACUGACGCUGAGGAGCGAAAGCGUGGGGAGCGAACAGG